GAUGAACGCUGGCGGCGUGCCUAAUACAUGCAAGUCGAGCGAACGGACGAGAAGCUUGCUUCUCUGAUGUUAGCGGCGGACGGGUGAGUAACACGUGGAUAACCUACCUAUAAGACUGGGAUAACUUCGGGAAACCGGAGCUAAUACCGGAUAAUAUUUUGAACCGCAUGGUUCAAAAGUGAAAGACGGUCUUGCUGUCACUUAUAGAUGGAUCCGCGCUGCAUUAGCUAGUUGGUAAGGUAACGGCUUACCAAGGCAACGAUGCAUAGCCGACCUGAGAGGGUGAUCGGCCACACUGGAACUGAGACACGGUCCAGACUCCUACGGGAGGCAGCAGUAGGGAAUCUUCCGCAAUGGGCGAAAGCCUGACGGAGCAACGCCGCGUGAGUGAUGAAGGUCUUCGGAUCGUAAAACUCUGUUAUUAGGGAAGAACAUAUGUGUAAGUAACUGUGCACAUCUUGACGGUACCUAAUCAGAAAGCCACGGCUAACUACGUGCCAGCAGCCGCGGUAAUACGUAGGUGGCAAGCGUUAUCCGGAAUUAUUGGGCGUAAAGCGCGCGUAGGCGGUUUUUUAAGUCUGAUGUGAAAGCCCACGGCUCAACCGUGGAGGGUCAUUGGAAACUGGAAAACUUGAGUGCAGAAGAGGAAAGUGGAAUUCCAUGUGUAGCGGUGAAAUGCGCAGAGAUAUGGAGGAACACCAGUGGCGAAGGCGACUUUCUGGUCUGUAACUGACGCUGAUGUGCGAAAGCGUGGGGAUCAAACAGGAUUAGAUACCCUGGUAGUCCACGCCGUAAACGAUGAGUGCUAAGUGUCAGGGGGUUUCCGCCCCUUAGUGCUGCAGCUAACGCAUUAAGCACUCCGCCUGGGGAGUACGACCGCAAGGUUGAAACUCAAAGGAAUUGACGGGGACCCGCACAAGCGGUGGAGCAUGUGGUUUAAUUCGAAGCAACGCGAAGAACCUUACCAAAUCUUGACAUCCUUUGACAACUCUAGAGAUAGAGCCUUCCCCUUCGGGGGACAAAGUGACAGGUGGUGCAUGGUUGUCGUCAGCUCGUGUCGUGAGAUGUUGGGUUAAGUCCCGCAACGAGCGCAACCCUUAAGCUUAGUUGCCAUCAUUAAGUUGGGCACUCUAAGUUGACUGCCGGUGACAAACCGGAGGAAGGUGGGGAUGACGUCAAAUCAUCAUGCCCCUUAUGAUUUGGGCUACACACGUGCUACAAUGGACAAUACAAAGGGCAGCGAAACCGCGAGGUCAAGCAAAUCCCAUAAAGUUGUUCUCAGUUCGGAUUGUAGUCUGCAACUCGACUACAUGAAGCUGGAAUCGCUAGUAAUCGUAGAUCAGCAUGCUACGGUGAAUACGUUCCCGGGUCU
rnacentral:rRNA from 1 species